rnacentral:rRNA from 1 species
UACAGAGGCCUCAAGCGUCGUUCGGAAUUACUGAGCGUAAAGCGCACGUAGGCGGACAUUUAAGUCAGGGGUGAAAUCCCGAGGCUCAACCUCGGAACUGCCUUUGAUACUGGGUGUCUUGAGUAUGGAAGAGGUAAGUGGAAUUGCGAGUGUAGAGGUGAAAUUCGUAGAUAUUCGCAGGAACACCAGUGGCGAAGGCGGCUUACUGGUCCAUUACUGACGCUGAGGUGCGAAAGCGUGGGGAGCAAACAGG